CUUGGUCAUUUAGAGGAAGUAAAAGUCGUACAAGGUUUCCGUAGGUGAACCUGCGGAAGGAUCAUUAAUGUAACCGGACGGUCCUUUGCCGUAAAAAGCAACGGAUUGGAAAGGGAGAUAUUAUACACCUGUGUUUAUUUACCUUUGUUGCUUUGGCGGGCCGUCCUUUUAGGCGUGGCCCCGGCUGAUCGCGCCCGCCAGAGGACCUAAACUCUUUUAUCAGUGUGUCUGAGUAUUAUAUAAUAGUUAAAACUUUCAACAACGGAUCUCUUGGUCUGGCAUCGAUGAAGAACGCAGCGAAAUGCGAUAAGUAAUGUGAAUUGAGAAUUCAGUGAAUCAUCGAAUCUUUGAACGCACAUUGCGCCCGCUGGUUUCCGGCGGGCAUGCCUGUUCGAGCGUCAUUAUAACCAAUCAAGCUCUGUUGGUCUUGGGGCCCGCUGUACCGGCGGCCCUUAAAACCAGUGGCGGUGCGUCUGGCUCUAAGCGUAGUAAUACUUCUCGCUACAGGGUCCAGUCGUCACCGGUCAGAACUCCCCAACUUUCUUAGGUUGACCUCGGAUCAGGUAGGAUACCCGCUGAACUUAAGCAUAUCAAUAAGCGGAGGAA
rnacentral:rRNA from 1 species